GUCUUUUUGAAAUUAUAUUUAAAGUCUAACCUGCCCACUGAAAUUUUUAAAUGGCCGCAGUAUACUAACUGUGCAAAGGUAGCAUAAUCAUUAGUCUUUUAAUUGAAGGCUGGUAUGAAUGGUUGGACGAAAUAUUAACUGUUUCAUAAAUAUUUAUAUUAGAAUUUUAUUUUUUAGUCAAAAAGCUAAAAUAAAUUUAAAAGACGAGAAGACCCUAUAAAUCUUUAUAUUUAUGUUAUUAUAAUUUUAUAGAUUUUUUAUAUUUUAAUAAUUUAUAAUAUUUUAUUGGGGUGAUAUUAAAAUUUAAUAAACUUUUAGUUUUUAAAAUCAUUAAUUUAUGAAUAAUUGAUCCGUUAUUAACGAUUAAAAAUUUAAGUUACUUUAGGGAUAACAGCGUAAUUUUUUUGGAGAGUUCAUAUCGAUAAAAAAGAUUGCGACCUCGAUGUUGGAUUAAGAUAUAAUUUUAGGUGUAGCCGCUUAAAUUUUAAGUCUGUUCGACUUUUAAAUUCUUACGUG
rnacentral:rRNA from 1 species